UACGUAGGGUGCGAGCGUUAAUCGGAAUUACUGGGCGUAAAGCGUGCGCAGGCGGUUUUGUAAGCCAGAUGUGAAAUCCCCGGGCUUAACCUGGGAAUGGCAUUUGGGACUGCAAGGCUUGAGUGCGGCAGAGGAGACUGGAAUUCCUGGUGUAGCAGUGAAAUGCGUAGAUAUCAGGAGGAACACCGGUGGCGAAGGCGGGUCUCUGGGCAGUAACUGACGCUGAGGCGCGACAGCGUGGGGAGCAAACAGG
rnacentral:rRNA from 1 species